UCCCUUUAAGUCGGAAUAAUAUUCUAUGG
rnacentral:piRNA from 1 species